GGGCCUGUAGCGCAGCUGGUAGAGCGUCUCCAUGGCAUGGAGAAGGUCAGGGGUUCGAGUCCCCUCAGGUCCACCA
rnacentral:tRNA from 4 species